AGAGCCGUGGGAGGGGGCCUUGACAGAAGGGAAAGCUAUAGGCACUAUCGUUUCUCUUUAACCGCAAUGCCGGGCUCUUUCACUUCCUCCCAGCACUAGCUGCAGAUAUGAACGCUUUUCACUUCCUCCAAGCUGCACAUCGAGCCAUGUGGGAGGGAGAUUUGAAGACAGGGUCUGAAAAGGGGGGCAUGAACAGCAGAACCAGACUCCACAUCCCAACAGCCUCAGUCAGCAGUCUGACCCCCCGGUCAUUGGUAUUUAAUGUAGUGUAAUACCUGGUGGAGCUCUGGCCGGCUAAUGUCUUUUAGGAUUCCU